CUAUCACUUUGUUCACUUUAGUAAAAUUUAACAAAUCUCCUCCAGAAGGAUAAUAUAUGCAUUAUAAAUACAUUAGCACUGUUUUUUAUCUUCACAAUACUGACGUGUUUAUUGUUUAUUUUUAUACCUUUAAGCUAGUUUCACACGUUACGGUGUGAAGUGAUGGACCUACGUUUCAUCCACGGCGGAACAGCGCAAAAAUUCGGGGUAUUUCUGUGAAACAUUGUCAAACAGUCGAUGGAAACAUCUUCACGACGCUGCUUUUAUUCCAUUUUGAACAAAUUUUCAGUUAAUAUGCGAUGUACUGCACUUUUUGAAAUGCCUACUAUGUCUGCUAGAUUGCUGGCCUUCGAAGAAAAUUACGUUUUUCUUCAAAAAUGUAGUUAUUUUCCUAUCACCUAGCAAUAGUAGUCUUUGGGGAGCCUCUUUUCUAAAACUAAAACUAAAAGUCCCAACUUUCCGGUUAAGGGUUAAAUGGACACAAACAGUUAUCCAUGUACAUAUAAAUAUUUGAAUUAAUAAACAACAAAAACCUUG